UCCGGUUUGGCACCGGCAGUCCCGCCAGAGUCCCCAGCAUUACCUGAUGGUAACUGACGGCAAGGGUUUCGCUCGUUAAGGGACUUAACCCGACACUUCACAGCACGAGCUGACGACAGCCGUGCAACACCUGUGCAUGUUUCACCCUUGCGGGUAAUUUUCCAACUCAUCGCCGGAAAACAUCCAUGCAUGUCAAACCCGGGUAAGGUUCUUCGCGUUGCUUCGAAUUAAACCACACGCUCCGCUGCUUGUGCGGGCCCCCGUCAAUUCCUUUGAGUUUUAGCCUUGCGGCCGUACUCCCCAGGCGGGGCACUUAAUGCGUUAGCUACGGCACCACGGGGGUCGAUACCCAUGACACCUAGUGCCCAUCGUUUACGGCGUGGACUAC
rnacentral:misc_RNA from 1 species